UACGCCCACAUCACAUUGAAAUGCCGGUUCCCGUACGAUCACUGAAGUUAAGCAACGUCCAGCAUGGUCAAUACCUAGAUGGGAGACCGCUUGAGGAUACUAGGCGCUGUAAG